rnacentral:misc_RNA from 1 species
CCGGCCUACCGAGUACGUGUGCUACUGCUGCUGCUGCUGCUGCUGCCAAGAAAGAGAGAAAAAAAGUUUGUACUUAUGCGGCGUACGUCGCGACAAUGGCGUGUUCGCCCACGAGCAUCGAAAAUCAAAUAGACAGUUUUCUCGAGCAGUUUCAACGCAGCGAGCCCAGAUCCAUGGAGGAACAUCAUCACCAUCGUCAUCAGCAUCAUCAGCAUCACCACCAACAUCAUCAUCAGCAUCAUCAUCAGCAGUGCCGCGGUGGUAUCUAUGACAACGGCAGCAGCAUCAGCCGCAGUCGCAGCGACAACCUCGACAUCGAGGUUCUCGAAGCCGACGAUGCCGAGAGUAUGACUGGUGAGAUAGAAAACGGCGAUCUGGCCGUCCGAGACGUUGCUGAUCUCCUCCAGCCUCAGUACGCCAUAAUUGCUGGUGGAAAAACUCGGGAAGGUUGUCCCAUCAUAACAUUUCCGGACAAUGGCAAUUUUCACAAUCUCAGCGACUUGGAUUAUCAGCGUCUUAUGCUCUAUCUAACUUCUGUUCCAACGUUACACGAAGCCGACUUGGGAUUCCACUUGGUGAUCGACCGAAGGAACGAUAAAUGGAAUUCAGUAAAAACUAUACUAUUGAAAAUUUCUGCUUUUUUUCCCGGCCUCGUGCACGUCGCCUACGUGCUGCGGCCCGUGGGCUUCUUGCAGAAGGCCAUCUCCGAGGUGUCGAACAAGCUGUUCCGCGAGGACUUCAAGUUCCGCGUGAUCGUUCUGACGAGCGUGUGCGAGCUGCACGAGUUCAUUGACAAGGACCAGCUGACCGAUCAGCUCGGCGGUCAUCUGCCCUACUGCCAUCACACUUGGAUUCAGAAUCGAAUCAAUCUCGAGAAGUUCUCGUCGAUGACGCAGGACGUGUCGCUGGCACUGGACUCGUUCACGCGCCGACUGGCCGAGAUCGAGUUCCCGAACAAUGCCCUGGCGACGACGAGUCUGCUCAGCCAGCAGCAAGCCGAGUACAACGAGCUCAAGGAGGAGAUCAUGAGCGCGGCCAGGCACGGCGAGAGCCUGCUCGACAGUGUGCGCCAGCUCACCGGCAAGGGCACGGCCGAUCGACUCGGUAACGUCGCCGCCGUGGAGAGGCUACUGGUCCAGCUCGAGGAGACCGAGCAGACGUUCGAUCUGUUCUGGUCGCAUCACAGCUCGCGACUGAGGCACUGCCUGGCGCUGCGUCAGUUCGAGCAGGACUUCCGAGAGCUGCAGGCCAGCCUCGAUCAGCACCUGAAGACGUUGGACGACAUGAACGAGGUCGGCGAGACGAGGGCCCGAGUCGAUCAGCUGAUACGCGACACGACGGCCUUUCAGCGUGUCUGCAGGGGAGACUUGGACAGAGCCGAAGAGGUGAUAAGCGCCGGCCAGCAGCUGCUCAGCGAUCGGCAUCAGUGUCCCGCGGAGGUCGUCGAGCCCAAGUGCGUCGAGCUUCAGCGCGUUUGCACCAUUCUCGGGCAGCGCCUAGAGCGCCGACUGCACACCCUGGCCAAGUGUCGCGAGCUCAUGGAGCACAUCGACAAGGCCAACGCCUGGUGCACACGGGGCGUCGAGCUGCUCGCCGCGCAGAACGCCUCCACCCCCGCGGAUCGUGCCCUCCAGGAGCUGCAGUCGCUGAUCGAGGCAGCCGAGGAUUUUCACUUUCAGGACUCGAUCAUGCCCGAGACCAAGGCACUGGUGACGCAGGUGCUGCAGCGCAUCGAGGACGUGUCGAUGAUGUGCGACAAGCGCAUCAACGCCCUGAAGCAGCAGCUGCUCAAGCCGGUCACGCGACCGGUGCAGCCGGUGACGCCGGAGCCGGCCAAACCCCUGCCGCCGGCUCCGGUGCUCUGCACCAGGACGGGACGAGUAUUGAAGAAGGCCAACACUCUGCCCAGAAUGGAUGGAUCGGGCGCGAUGGACGGGGCCGUUCCCGGUGAGAUAUCCUCGCCCGAGAGCGAGCCUCGCGAUCUCGAGGCUCUGCGACUGAAGCGCGGCCACGUCCUGGCCGAACUCGUCGACACGGAGCGCAUCUACGUGGCCGAGCUCGGCUCCAUCGUCCAGGGCUACAAGCUCGAGAUGAGCAACGAGGAGAUGGCCCACCUCGUGCCCCAGGCCCUCGUCGACAAGCAGGACAUCCUGUUCGGCAAUCUCGAGGACAUCUAUCUGUUUCACGGCGAGACGUUUCUGGUCGACCUCGAGAACUGCAUCUCGAACACGCAGCUGGUGGCGCUGUGCUUCGUACAGCGCAGGGACGCCUUUUACCGCUUGUACAGCUACUACUGUCAGAACAUACCGCGCUCGGAGCGGCUCAGGGAGCAGGUCCAGCACGAGCCGCAGUUCCUCGCCGCGUGCCAGCAAAAGCUCGGCCACAAGCUGCCGCUGGCGGCCUACCUGCUCAAGCCCGUGCAGCGCAUCACCAAGUAUCAGCUGCUGCUCAAGGAUCUGCUCAAGUACAGCAGCGACGUCGAGCAGUCGUGCUGCGCCGAGCUCCAAGAGGCCCUGGACUGUAUGCUGGUCGUGCUCAAGUGCGUCAACGACAGCAUGCAUCAGACUGCCAUCACCGGUUUCGGGGGCGAUCUGAGCUCGCAGGGCGACCUCCUGCUCCAGGGCUCGUUCAGCGUCUGGAGCAGCAGCAAGCGCGAGCGACUGCCCCGGCUCAAGCCGUCGCAGCGACACAUCUUCCUGUACGAAAAGAGCGUGAUAUUCUGCAAGCACAGCAAGCCGCAGGCGCACACCAAGGCCACGUAUCACUUCAAGCGCUACCUCAAGACGUCGCAGAUCGGCCUGACCGAGUCCGUCAAGGGCGACGCUCGGCGCUUCGAGAUCUGGCUGCAGGGCCGCUCCGAGGUGCACACCAUACAGGCGUCGAGCAUCGACGUCAAGCAGGCCUGGGUCAGGCAGAUCAAGGCUGUGCUUAUGUCCCAGCUAGCCGAGCUCAAGGGCAAGCAAAACACGGCUCUGCAAGGCAGAGGUGGACAGAAGUUCACCAUGGAAUUACCGUUGAGGCAGACGAUAUCGUGGGACGCCCAGAGCAGCCUGUCGGGCUCGCUGCGCACGCUGUCGAUCGACAGCAACAGCAUGAACUCCCACCUCACGGACAUCUCGCAGUCGACGGACAACGAGGACGUCGGCUGGAGCUCGGAGAACAGCAAUUCCGACGACGAAGACACGUUCGGCGACGUACCGGGCCCGGCUCCAGUAAGUCCGCCCAGCUUGAUCAGAAUUUUAUAAUUUUAUUUACUAUUUUGACUUCAAUUUUUUUACCACGAUACAAGUGUAGGAUACAAACGGCUCAUAAAUUAUUUUACAACACUUAUGAUAAGUUUGCAAAUCAUAUAUAGUUUUUUAUCUGCAUUUGGCAUAUUAUUUUGCGAUUCAAGAUCAAGCAGCAAAAAAGAAAUAAAAAUUUAAAGAGAGUAUGAUUGUGCUGUACUACUUAUGCGAGUUAACUGAAAGAUAUCAACAAGCAGCAUAAGCCACUUUUACGCAGUAAUUUAUUAUCACUUUUGUUUGAUUGCAAACGAUUACUAUUACAGGACAGAUGACUAUGAAGUUUACAUUUUAUUUAUUUUUUUUUUAAUCUAAUUUUUUUUUUUAUAGAUAAGGAACAGUCUCUUACCUUUUAAAAAAAUCCUUCUGUUACUUUUUUUAGAAAUAAUUAUCGUACACACGAUAGAUUUUUAAGUUCCACGGAGUCAGACUGCACCGGCGGGAAUUUAGAAAACAUGGGACGCCCAAAUAAUAAGGGCAGCAGAUACAUCGCCCUAGCCGACUACUGCGCCAUGGGCCAGUCCGAGGUGACGAUGCGCGAAGGCGACAGCCUCGAGCUGC